GAUCAUAAACAGGUUGUGUCAGAUGUGGAUCAGAUUAGAAAAUUCUAAAGCUAAUCUGAUCUGUUUAUUAAAUAGAUCAGAAUUUAUAAUCGAAAUAUAACAUGUUUAAUAAACAGGUAAUCCGAUCCGAUCUGUUUAACUUAUUUACUAAAUGGAUAACCUGUUAACCCAACCUGUUUAACCUAUUUAAAAUAAAAUUUAUUAGCUAACCUCAUCUAAUCCGGCCC
rnacentral:lncRNA from 1 species